ACCGGUUCUGUGCUGAUCCAGCUUGUGCGAUCCCAUGCACAGAGCCAGGAGCAGCGUACCUCUUGCCAACAGCCUGCCUCCACUCUGCUGCCUUUUCUGCUGUGAUUUCCUACUGUCUGCUUUUCCACCAGACCUUUUCUUUCUUUAACCCUCUGCUCUCUUCCAAGAAUGAUCUAGGAAGAGGGGAAAGAAAUAAGAGAAAGGUGUCUGUGUGAAGUGGAGAUGAGGAGGCAGAAAAGGAGAGAGAGAGAGGAGAGGACUAGAGAAGACUGGAGUUAGGCUGCAACACGAGAGGCAAAGCAACGAGGAGAGGGAGAAAGAAGAGAGCAACAGGGAUCGAGGUGGAAUCGGGCCGAAAACGCAGGAAAAGGAGGGAAAAAUUGCCAGACUCAUCCGACCUCUGCUGUGUGGGGACCGGACCCGUCACCUGACUGCCCUCUCCUGUCUUCCUGGUCCUCAGCAGAACAGCCAUGAGACACACACACCAGCACAGAGCCCACAGACUGCAAAGAGGGGGCUGGGUGGGUAAGUGGAGACGUGAUAUUCGAAAAACG
ensembl:lncRNA